UCUCUAAAAAUCAAUGGAAAAAAUAUCCUCGGGUGAGGAUCAAGAAAAAAAAAAAUGGAACAAGGAUUCAAGUGUAAAAUUCACAUGGAUUUUUAAGGUAAGCCAUACAGGUCUCUGUUUUAAAUGACUCAGAGUUGCUGAGCCUCAAAGAGAGGCAUGUAGUAUGUCCUUUGAGGCCUUCCCUACACGUGCCCUUCUCCAGAUCAUCCUCACAUUUAGAGGCUCAGCACAAGCCCAUCCCCCUCCUCCUCUCCUUGGGCUCCCAGAGGUGUUCCUCUGCACCCAGCACUGCAGUUCCAUCUGGCUCCCUGCUCCCGACUCUGUCCCAUCCAAUGUCCCUCCAACCUUUUAGGCCUGGGUCACCUUUGUGUGUCUCCUGCUGCUGAGCUCUGCUGGCGUCCAAUAAACUUCCUUUCCCUGCUAGAUGGGUUCCCCCUUGAGCCCAGGGUCCUAUCUGACUGAGGCAGGCACCCUGGGGGCUCUGAAGGUGGAGAUGAGCCCCGCCCCCUCUGAUCUUUCCUACUUGACCUGACAGCUGUCUCUGAGGUAGCAGUGAGCUGAUGAACAACUCCUGAGCCUGUUCUGCCUGGACUCCUGGCUCAACACAUGCAAGUCGGGGCUGCAACUCUGCUCGACAUUGCUGUUUCCAAGUGCCAGCCUUUGACAUUUCACUUCCCAUAAGAUUACACCCAAUAAUUUCUGAUUUACAUUCCUAUGGAUUUUUUUUCCUUACUUUUUUUUUUUUUAAUUAAUGAAGCAAAUUCAACUCAGAGCAGGGAUUUGAAAAGCACAGCUAGGAGCUUUUUGUUUGCCAUGAAGAUGCCCUGAUUAUUCCACAAUAAAACAAGCCACUGCAGAAUGAGAAUAUAUCCAGCCAGGAAACGGGACGUGAGGAAAAGCAUCUGGGCACAUACAGCCUGGCCUGGAACAGCUGCUCCCAUGGGGACUCACCUCUCUUGGAAGAACUGCCCUCCCUAUCCCCCAACAGCAGGUAAAAGAUUCAACGCAGCAGCCUUCAUGAGCCGGAAGGAAAAACCAGUCAUUUUGAAAUCAACAUCCAAGGGAGGACAGAAAGAAUUCUGGAGUUUGGAAAUGGCAACAACAGAUGAUCACACACACACACACACACCCCUGCUUCUCCGUCACAUGCUUUAUGUGAAAUGGCAGCCUAGGCCAGCACCUCACGGCAGCUUCGAUGAUUUAAGGCAAAUGCAGUGCUCUUGAGAUCACACUGCUCUUAUCCACUUCAUCAACAAAGGGUCACUGAACACCUACUGUGUGCCAUACAUUUCUCCCGGGCACUGGAGAGACAGCAAAGAGCAAAACUGAGCCCAUGCCCUCAAGAAGCCCACAUUUUAGUGGAGUAGAAAGACCCCCCAAAAAUAGAAACCAGAUAAAAGUUACAGUGUGUCAUAUGGUGAUAAUCACUGUGAGGAAAAUACAGCAGGGAAGGGAGAGGGGAGUAUCUGGAUGGGGUUGGUGUAAAUGUACGUAAACGGAGAAGCCCUCACUGGGAAGGUGACAUCUGAGGAUGUGGGGAAAGCCCUCAGGACACCUGGGGAGAGCUUUCUCCACAGAGGACUAGCCAGUGCCAAGGUCCCAAGGCUGCAGCAGCUCUACACUCACAGCAGGCCUGUCCCUCCAGACAAACCCCUGGGUGCCAGGCAGGGACCUCAGCACCCCUGAAACACCCCUUCUGGGCACCUCUACCCACAGGAGUGGGAGCCUGAGAAACAGGGCUGCCCGUGAGGACCCAGGCACCUCCUGUCUGAUGACAGCCUAACCAAGGCUGUACUGUCCAGCAUCAGUCCAAGGCUGAGAUGCUAGUCGCUACACCACCACCGCUGCAAAAGCACCCAGCAGUGUCCCCUGCACUCCACACUAUGGGCACGAUGACACAGGAACAAGUCACGAGCAGCCUUCCUCCUUCGUGGGAUUCCUUCCUGCCUCCGCCACAUGAGCCAGCCAAGCACCUCAGCGCAAGACCAGUCUCAGGGACUCUCCCAGAUGGAGAUGUUUACAGGGUAGACUCAGUGCUUCGUGCUCUCUCUUCCCACAGGCAUAACUCACUAGCAUGGGUAUGUUUAAUAAAUAGUUUUACUUCUGCAAUUAAA